GGAACAUGGCUCUGGAAGGGCAAAUCGAGCUUCAAGCACAGUUGAAUAUUAUCACUUGUUAGCAGAGAAGAUUUACAAAAUUCAGAAGGAGUUGGAGGAGAAGCGAUGGUCACGUUUACAGAGACUGUCCAUUGUGGGUAAUCAGCCUGCUGUGCAGACAUCUGAAACUCAGCCUUCACCAGUACCAUCAGGUGCUCCCAUUCCUCAUCUUUCACCUCCUGUUUAACCAUCUACUCCAAGUCUUCUCGAGUAGUAGCAAUGAUGUCCAAUACGAAAAGCAAAGUUUUCCGCAGAUGUACGGAUUUUUUUGGAAGAAAUAGUGGAGUUGUGACAUCUCCAUCCUGCACUGCUGUGGAAAAUGGUCCAGUGUACUGUUGAGGAGACAUUUAUAUUUACACCGGCACAAGAAGAGUUCAAUUUCUUUUCAGGAAAAAAGUUUUGCUGGAAAGCUGUUGUGUACAUUAUUCAUAUAAAUCAUCUUUAGAAAUCUGAUGUGGUAUAGUUUGCUAUUGCACCAGCCCAGUGUUACUCGAAUGUUAGCCAAAUGUUCAUGCACUUGGUAAAGAAAUUGAGUAUCUGAGGGAUUUCAUAUCCAGCCAUGCCGGUUGUAAAUUCAGAAGCAAACAUUCAUAGAAUGAUUAAACAUAGGUCAUGAAAGAUGAGUUUCAAUGAAUACUUUCCAGUCAACAGAAAUAGGAAACAUAAUAUUGAAAAUCUUAUUUUUAUUCAUAAAGUUGAUUAACAUGGGACAGUUGCAUUUGCGUGUAGAUCAUUUGCAGUACCAAGAAAUACUGUUUUAUUCAAAUAAUGAGAAAACAGGAAUAAAGUUUAGGUUUAAGAACA